rnacentral:rRNA from 1 species
GACGAACGCUGGCGGCGUGCCUAAUACAUGCAAGUCGAGCGCAGGAAGCUGACGGAACUCUUCGGAGGGAAGGCAGCGGAAUGAGCGGCGGACGGGUGAGUAACACGUAAGGAACCUGCCUCAAGGAUUGGGAUAACUCCGAGAAAUCGGAGCUAAUACCGGAUAGUUCAACGGACCGCAUGGCCCGCUGCUGAAAGGCGCUCCGGCGUCCCCUUGAGAUGGCCUUGCGGUGCAUUAGCUAGUUGGUGGGGUAACGGCCCACCAAGGCGACGAUGCAUAGCCGACCUGAGAGGGUGAUCGGCCACACUGGGACUGAGACACGGCCCAGACUCCUACGGGAGGCAGCAGUAGGGAAUCUUCCACAAUGGACGAAAGUCUGAUGGAGCAACGCCGCGUGAGUGAUGAAGGUUUUCGGAUCGUAAAACUCUGUUGUAAGGGAAGAACACGUACGAGAGGAAAUGCUCGUACCUUGACGGUACCUUACGAGAAAGCCACGGCUAACUACGUGCCAGCCGCCGCAGUAA